UAAAUAUAUUUUGUUUUUAUAAGGGUUUUGAAAACCUUUGAUGGGAAAAUUUCCCA
rnacentral:tRNA from 1 species